UGUUACAUUCCAGUUAGUUUUUGUAAAAAUUCACCUUAGAGUCCAAAGGAGCUCAGCAUAGCUGAAAGAGGUGAAUGGAAGGAGGUGACUUCCACAAAGGGCAUUUCAAAAUGUUCCCCUUCCUCUGGAACAUAAAGUUGCUUCACUCACUGUGUAUGAAUCAGCUCAUCCAGAAGAGGAAUCCAAAAGGGAAUUGUGCCGAGCAAUCAUAAUUCUAACAAAGCCCUUACGAAGGGUCUAGUCAAAGUGAAAUGUUUAUUUAAAAACAUCCUCUGUCUAGCUAUUACCUCAGUCUUUCCAGCAGGUUCUGUGACCUUACACUUGUCCUUGUUGGACUUCAGAGAGUUCAUGUUAGCCCAAGUUACCAUAGUACCCACUCUUCCAGCCCGUCCAGGUCUUCCUGCAGGGUGAGUCUUACUUCUCAAGUGCCUGUUCCCCCAUUUGGCAAACCUCACCAGGGUGCCCUUGGUCCCAUCACACCGAUCACUUGUGAGGAUAUUGAACAGCUUUGGGCCCAGUAUCGAUCCCUGCUGGACCCCACGUGUGACAGGACACCAGCCUGAAGAGGAUCUGUUUACCAGCACCUCCUGGGUGCUUCCUGCCAGCCAGUUCCCCACCCCCUGCAAAGACCACUUGUCUAGUCAAUAAUGUGUCUGUUUGUCCAGGAGGGGGCUGUGGGAAACCAUAUGGAAAUCCCUGCAGAAAUCCAGGUAAACAAUGUUCACUGUCUGCCCCACUUGGACCGAGCAGUUCCUUUGCCACAGAAGGUGAUCAGCUCUGUCAAGCACAAUUUCCCCUUGGUGAAUCCAUCCUGGCUUUUCCCCAUCACCUGCUUAAUUUUUCUUGUGGUAGCCUCAGGAGGAUUUCUUCAGUAACUCUCCCAGGAACUGAAACAUAACUUGGCGGUAAAAGCAUUUGUAACUUGGGGAAAUAUGUCAGGUUGGUAAUGCCCACAAAACCACAAAUCCAUGGGGCUUCAGUGUGGCUGAAAACCUGACUCUGUCAAAGGCAUUUACCAAACUUGUAGAUUGUUCAGUGAAAUCUAGAUUUCACUGCUGGCUGCUCACAUGCUUUCUGGCUGUGUAAAGAUGAGUUGGCAGCAGAGCAGGCUUUCCCCACACCCUGUUCAGUCACGUGUGCGUGCAUUUCCAUCUGCCUGUGUUACAAUGUGAGAUCAGUGCUUCAGCUGAGGAAACCCCUCCUUCUGUGGCUUGCAGAAUGGCUGUCUGAUGGUCCCUCACCUGGUGUUAAAGCCAUGACCUGGAGCUCAGCUGCUUCACCUAAUCAUCAAAGCACCUGUGCUCCUGUUUCAUAUCAGUUGCUCUAAGUGGGUUGGUUCACAAGGCUUCACAUAAAGCUCCUGUAGUCUGGACCCCUGCCAGCAGUAAUUUUGCUCAAUCAGGAGCGUGGCAUGCUGCAAAUGAAUGUCACAAAAUGAAAUGCAGGAUUUGCUUCUUCCAAAGUCAUUGUAGAACACAGCUGCACAGCACACCCAUCAGCCAGGCCAGGCCAGACCUUGUGACAAUGAUGUUAAUGCCAUCAGUUCUGCUCUCCUGUGAACCAAAGACAAGUUUGGGGCAGACAGGAUGGUGAGAAAUAGGUGGUGGACAUUGUGAGUGAAGAGCAUUGUAGGAGGGAGUUCAGCCCCUUUGCAUGGACCAAAGCAAGGGGAAUUUUUUUUUAGUAUUUACUGUGAUGAGCCAAAAUGGUGCCAACUGUGUAGUGGCUGAAACUUAGCUGUGUCUGAGGACCCUACACGGUGGAACUGCCCCUACAGUGACAUAAGGAGUUUAAUUGCUACAAGAUCCUUCCCCUUCUCAUUCCUCCUUUCUUCCUGAACAUUGCUUUGAAUUUUUAUCCAGUGCUGCCUUUUAAUCUAUAGCUGUCUUUUUAAUGUUCAUUUUUUCUCUUCUCCCCUUUUCAUGAAUGUUGACAUUCAUUGGAGGCCUAUUUGGCUGUCUAAAGGGAGGGCCCUAACCGCACAUUUAUUCUUAAACUUGAGCAAAACAUCCUGGAGCCAGUAGCAGUAGCCUCAUUUGCUGUGCUCUUGGCCAAGCCUGAAGUUCUCUUUAGGAGCUGACCUGAAAUGCAGCAUCACUGCUUGGAGAAGGGAAAAAUGGAUCUCUUGGUUCUCCCUUUCUUAGCUACAUAAGAUCCACGUGUUUGUCCUGUGUGUUUAGGAGCAGUGUCAGUGACUGCCAGUUGGACAUU